rnacentral:rRNA from 1 species
CACGGGGGGAGCAAGCGUUGUUCGGAUUCAUUGGGCGUAAAGGGCUCGUAGGUGGCUUUGUAAGUCGGAGGUGAAAUCCCACGGCUCAACCGUGGACACGCUUUCGAAACUGUGAAGCUUGAGGCUGGGAGAGGAGAUCGGAAUUCCUGGUGUAGUGGUGAAAUGCGUAGAUAUCAGGAGGAACACCGGUGGCGAAGGCGGAUCUCUGGACCAGUUCUGACACUGAUGAGCGAAAGCCAGGGGAGCAAACAGG